rnacentral:snoRNA from 1 species
AUUAAUUUCAAUGAUGAUCGAAUUAACAGAAGAGUUCUUGAAGACUAUAAUUCAUCACCCAAGACUGAUAGCAAAC